UACGUAGGGUGCGAGCGUUGUCCGGAAUUAUUGGGCGUAAAGAGCUUGUAGGCGGUUUGUCGCGUCUGCCGUGAAAAUCCGGGGCUCAACCCCGGACUUGCGGUGGGUACGGGCAGACUAGAGUGUGGUAGGGGAGACCGGAAUUCCUGGUGUAGCGGUGAAAUGCGCAGAUAUCAGGAGGAACACCGAUGGCGAAGGCAGGUCUCUGGGCCACUACUGACGCUGAGAAGCGAAAGCGUGGGGAGCGAACAGG
rnacentral:rRNA from 1 species